AAUUCCAGCAUUGCUUAGUACGGCGAGUGAAGCGGCAAAAGCUCAAAUUUGAAAUCUGGCACCUUCGGUGUCCGAGUUGUAAUUUGAAGAAGGUAACUUUGGAGUUGGCUCUUGUCUAUGUUCCUUGGAACAGGACGUCACAGAGGGUGAGAAUCCCGUGCGAUGAGAUGCCCAAUUCUAUGUAAAGUGCUUUCGAAGAGUCGAGUUGUUUGGGAAUGCAGCUCUAAGUGGGUGGUAAAUUCCAUCUAAAGCUAAAUAUUGGCGAGAGACCGAUAGCGAACAAGUACAGUGAUGGAAAGAUGAAAAGAACUUUGAAAAGAGAGUGAAAAAGUACGUGAAAUUGUUGAAAGGGAAGGGCUUGAGAUCAGACUUGGUAUUUUGCGAUCCUUUCCUUCUUGGUUGGGUUCCUCGCAGCUUACUGGGCCAGCAUCGGUUUGGAUGGUAGGAUAAUGACUAAGGAAUGUGGCUCUACUUCGGUGGAGUGUUAUAGCCUUGGUUGAUACUGCCUGUCUAGACCGAGGACUGCGUCUUUUGACUAGGAUGUUGGCAUAAUGAUCUUAAGCCACCCGUCUUGAAA
rnacentral:rRNA from 1 species